AUGAGGGGCACAGAGAGAGAGGCAGAGGGAGAAACCGACUCCCCGCAGGGAGCCGGAUGCGGGACUCGAUCCCAGGACCCCGGGGUCACGGCCCGACCGCAGGCAGGUGCUCAACCGCUGAGCCGCCCAGGUGCGCCUGGGGGCAACGCCUUAACCCCAGUUUCCCCACCUGUAAAAGGGGAGCGAGGAGCUAUCUCGGAGAACCGCCUCCUAGCCCGGUGCUUGCGAGAGUCGCGGCCUCAGAAGGAAGGCAGUGUUAAUGAAAUUCUUGGAGGCAAACAACUUAUGGCCUGGGAAUAUACCAAUUCUUGUGCUCGGUGAUAUUUGCAGAAAAAGUUUCCCAAGAUCUGAAUCGUGUGUACCAAAGGGAGCCAAAGAAGUGGGUAAUCAUUGCAGAAUAUAAAGACUAAACGGAGCAGGCUUCUUUUAACGACAUGGUAUUAAGUAAGCUGCAAUCUUUUCGCAGGCUGAAGGGAGAGAAGAGGGUCCUUAUCCCCCUACGUUAAAGGAUCCUUUGGAAACAGUCCAGUCCCCCCCCCCCCCUUUUUUUUUUUUUUUUUUUUUGCAAAAUGAUGGCAGUGAAACCUUGGAAGGCAUGGAUACAAAAGUGAAUGGCUGAAGGGAAAUUCUCUCGAAUCCAUGUUAGGGUCAAAAAUCUGCAUUUAAACCUUAAAAUGAAAGCCUUGAGUAUUCCUUUCCCCUCUUGACCAUAUUAUGCAGUUUCUAGCCUGUCACUUAAGAGCGACAGUUUUGAUCACAGCGCAAGUGUCAAACACCCUAGCAGACAGAGGAAACCGUGAGGGCGCCUUUGUAAACACAGCCGAGUCUUUCCUGAGCUUUGUCGCUGUAACAUGCCCUCCUGGGGGAGGGGGGGUCCCUUAUUACAUGAAGAAAGUUUUGCUAAUUAAACCUCCCAAAGCUCGGAGAGUCAAGUUUUAGUAUUUAAAAACGCCUCCCACCCUCCAUGUAACAAGUCACAUCAUUUCAGUCUUGCUAAAUGACCUCACAAAUCACCCAGAAAGAGGGCAUCUGAAAUGCCAACAAGACGGCGUACUUAGGCAUAAAACCAAGGACAAGCGUCUGUUUUAUCCUAAAUAUACCAUCGCAACCAGCAUGACUUGCGUUCACUAUUUUUACCCACACUGGCUCCUCCGCGUCUCAACCUCCCGUCAAAUCACCCGCUGAGUUGGGAAAACCCAGCCCGGGCGACGGUCGGGGCCGCGGCCGAACAGCCGGCGGCUGCAGCGCUCGGAGCUCUCGGCCUCCCUCCGCCGGGACCGGGCGGGCUACCGGGCGGGCUCCCGG
rnacentral:lncRNA from 1 species